CCUGUCUCUAGAGACAUUGCAGGUGUGCUGUUUUGUCACAUGAGCAUCAGGAGGUGAUGGAGAGAAAAGAAGCUCUGUCUAUAUUCAGUGUUCUGACCUAUGAACUAGGAACAUCUGAAUGAUUAGGAGCCUAACCUU
ensembl:snoRNA LOC120102060 small nucleolar RNA SNORA17